ACCAAAAAAAAAAAAAAACAGUUGAUUUUGUGACUUGGUUUUCUUUGGGAGUUUUAAAUAAAUAUUACUAUAGAAAUAUCAUUCUCCUGGUCCAAGGCUUCUCUUCUAAGAGGUGUGGAGACAGAGGAGAAUCAUAUUGGAUCCUGGCCUUUCCCCUGCUCGUGGAGAUUUUGUGGGAAGGCCAGUCAAGCUUAUGGGUGCCCCAUGCAGACAGCUUUGAAAGACCUGCCUGAGAAAGGGGUUCUGGUUACAUCCUUGCCACCCCAACAAAUGCUCCCCAAGGCUGUGGGGUUUUAUGAUUCCCCACAAGAGAGUGAGCCCCAGCAUUUCAGAACUGACCAGAUGCUUAGAGAAAAUCUCGUUCAGUGGCCUCAGACAGGAAAGAGAAGCUCAGAGAGGGAAAGAACGUUGUAGCGUCCCAAGGGGUUAAUGGUGGAACUGAGAUUCAAACCCCUGUCUCCUGAACCCAGUCACCUCUGCCUCCACCUCCCUGCCUUCCUUGACCUGAGGAGUGGCAUUCACUGCAGCAGCCCAGGUCCCAGCCAGCCUUUCAUCCCUGAGGCCCUGGGCUCAGGAGAUCUCAGACUCAAUCCUGAAGAGAGAAGAUGGAGCAGCCUGUUGGAAUGGAAGCUGAUCCCAAGUCCACAUCCAUAGAGAUCAAGGCUCCUGGACCCCAGUCCAGUCCUCUGUUUUUCUCCCACUUUCCUUCAAUUUCCAACCAGGGUUCCAGGCUUGCUACCAACAUCCCAAGGGUGACAUUUCUCUAGGGACACCAUCUGCCCAUUUUAUCUACCCCAGAGGAUCUUCUUCCACAGACCCAGGGAGACCAAAUAACAACAGCAAACCAAACAUCAAUGGCAUCUGAGCGUUAUGUCAGACCAUGCUUUAAUCCUUUCCAUAGGUUACCUCCUUUAAUUCACACAAGCACCAUCAGAGACGGGUCCACGAGCUGAGUUUGCUAGGACCUUGGCUGGAAUAGAACUUGAAUUCCUCUGUGAAAAUAGAGCCCACUCCGACCCCUUCCAUGGAUAGAUUAGUGGUGGAUCUGCCUCUGCUUUCGAUGGUAAGAGGCUACUGAAAGAGUCUGGCAUGGGCCUUGCACGAGGGUGGAGGCUGAGCUAGGAUUCAUCUCCAAUACAGCCCCCCAUGUCCCAGCCCAGGCUCUCAAAGCCUGGGCAAGGGAUGGGACCUUUUUCCACCUCUUCACUCCCUGCCCAACCCAAACACAGAGGUUUCUCCAAGAUGUGUAUGCUUCGAGGUCAAGAAGACCUAACAGUGGUCCUGGACACAAACCCCCAGGAGGACCCAAGUCUCCAGCGCCUUCCUGGAGCCAGUCAUUCUUCCUCACAGCUGGGAGGGGGUCGAGAGUGAACACCCAUGUGGCUCAGCAGGGCUGGGGUGCAGCAGCAAGCCAGCAGUGGACAGACAGCUGAGCGCUGCUGAGCUCUUGGCCAGGAAGGCAGAGGCCUGUGGAAGGAAGGCCCCCAGAGAGGGGUUCAGGUCUCUAGACCCCUUGUUCCUUUGACAGUGCUAGUGUGAGCCCAUGGCUAAAAUGAGCCUCACCUGUAAAGCUGAGUGAGGCCUCAGUUCAGCCAGUCCUGCCUUUGAUAAGAACAGCAGCUUGAACCUGCCUUUGGGCCUUGUUCAGCCCCACCUCCCCGAGGAAACCUGCCUGGCCUCUGUCUAGAGCUCAGAAGCCACAUCCCCAGGUCUGCAAGGCUCUUCUAACAUUUAUCUCACAGACAUCACUUGCCUUGCCAUUCACUUUUUCAUGUGCAUUUUUUUUUCUAUCAAAUCUAAUUUGAUUUGGUACAGUCAAGGCCCUUUCACUGCCAGGAUUAAAUGUGAUUUCUGUUCUGCCAAACGUCAACCAGUGCAGAGGCGCCUCAGCCAUCAUGCCAAGCCAUUUCCCACUCUGAUGGAGACACAAGCUGGAGAAGGAAGGCGAGGCUACUCUGCCAGCUGGUGGCUGAGACUGGCCAGGCACCCAGGGCUCCCAGUUGCCCAGCUGCAUGGCAGGUCAGGGAAAGGAGGACAAAUCCUCUCUUAGGCCCUGCAGCGGAACUGAGGUCUAAGAACUGAGAACCAAACAGAAUUCCAGAUGUUCCUUGUUCCCAGUGCGUUUCCUAGUCCCUGGCCCUGCCCCUCCCACAGCCCCUCACUGGCUACCCCAUUGGCCUGCCUGGCCCCAUACCCUUGGUUCCUGGCAAUAGUAAAUUGUUCAACUGGAUGAGGAGGGGAGGGGAAGAAAAAGAAGGCUGGUUACAUUCACCCUCCUCUUUUUCCGGAGGCAGAGAAGACUUCAAAGGGCCCAGGGAAGCAGCUUAAGCCACCAAUCUCUGUGCCAAGAUCUCCACCCAUUUGCGUCACAGAAACAGACCAUCAUAACCGGAUGCAGAAACUUUCCCCAUUUUAUUGAUAGCUAAACAGAGUCCCUGGGAAGUCCAAUGGUUCAUCUAGUCCAAGUCCAAUGGUUAGUGAUGGAAAGUUAAGCAAUAUUCAGGUCACUGGAGAACUUUUGAAAUGAUUACCUUGUCAUAUUUUUAGCACAAAACCAGACAUCCAUCCCUGGCUCCAGGAAAUCUUCUUCAAGAGCAGAACAUUGUUGUCAAUUAGGAUGAUGUACUGAGGCAUCUGUAGAGCCACAAUAAGUAAAUUAUGACUAUUUUUAAGGGUGCUUCUUGGGCUGAUGGCCUGAAAUAAGACACACUUUAGAGAGAAAACACCUUUAAGGCAAGGGGCCUGUUAUGUCAUACCAUCAUCACAACAGCCCAUAGAUGGAGGUGUUGCUAUCUCCAUUUUACAGAUGAUAAAAAUGUGGACCCACAUUUUUCUCCUCUAAUAAAUGGGUGGUGGGAGCAGAAGCUAGGAUUCCAAGCCAGCUCCUUCCCCCUACUUUUUCCCAUUAGGGCAGGCAGGCAAAUGCUUCACUUGUGUUGCCUCUCACCAAGUACUUCUGUCAGUGAUUUUUUUCUUUAAUGUAAAUUUGUUUUUGAAGUAUAAGAUGUAUGUAGACAGCACACAAAUCUUAAGGGUGCUGCUUGAUGAUGUUUACAAACAACAGGCUAGUAGAACCAGAACUCAAUUCAAGCAGUAGAAAAUACCAACCCCCCACCCCGCCAAGAAAUCCCUCAUGCCUCCUCCCCAUCACUAACUACUCCCUUAAGGUCACCUCUGCCUAACUUCAUCACCUUGCUUUUGCUUUUAUACAGAAGAUGUCACACAAAAUGUACUUUUUUUUCACUCAAAACUAUGUCGAAAGAUUCCUCCAUGGUUUUACAUAUAAUUGUGGUUCCUUCAUUCUUGUGGCUGAUUAGUGUUCUAUAUGAAGUUACACAAUUUAUUUUUACAUUCCACUGUUGAUGGACAGUAGAAGUGUUGCUUCCAGUUUGGUGCUGUUACAAAUAAUGCUCCUAUGAGCAUUUGUGAAUGUACAUUUUGGUAAACAUGCAUAUGCUUUUCUGUUAGGCAUUUGCCCAGGAGAUUCAGCAGUUUUAGUCAAUGUGCCUAGCUUUCCAAAGUGGUUGUGCAGUUCACAUUCCCACUGAAAGCAUUGUGAGCAUUCUGGUUGCUCUACAUCCUCAUCAGCACUUAAUACUAUCUUUUUCAUUUCAGUCAUUCUUUUUUUUUACUUUCUUAAUUUCAAUAGUUUUGGGGGAACAGGUGGUUUUUGGUUUCAAGGAAAAAGUCUUUAGUGGUGGUUUCUGAAAUUUUGAUGUCCUACUCAAUGUGUAGUCUUUUAUCCCUCAAUCCCCUCCCACCCU